UACGGGGGGAGCAAGCGUUGUUCGGAUUUACUGGGCGUAAAGGGCGCGUAGGCGGCCUUGUCAGUCAGGCGUGAAAGCCCCGGGCUCAACCUGGGAACGGCGCUUGGGACGGCGAGGCUGGAGUUCGGGAGAGGAGAGUGGAAUUCCCAGUGUAGAGGUGAAAUUCGUAGAUAUUGGGAAGAACGCCGGUGGCGAAGGCGGCUCUCUGGACCGACACUGACGCUGAGGCGCGAAAGCGUGGGGAGCAAACAGG
rnacentral:rRNA from 1 species